GCCUUCGUGGUGUAGUGGUCAGCACGCCCGGACGCGUAUUCCAGAGGUCCUGGUUCAAGCCCCGGUGAAGGCG
rnacentral:tRNA from 1 species